AACGAACGCUGGCGGCAUGCCUAACACAUGCAGGUCGAACGAGACCUUCGGGUCUAGUGGCGCAAGGGUGCGUAACGCGUGGGAACCUGCCCUUAGGUUCGGAAUAACUCCCCGAAAGGGGUGCUAAUACCGGAUAAUGUCUUCGGACCAAAGAUUUAUCGCCUUUGGAUGGGCCCGCGUUGGAUUAGCUAGUUGGUAGGGUAAAAGCCUACCAAGGCGACGAUCCAUAGCUGGUCUGAGAGGAUGAUCAGCCACACUGGGACUGAGACACGGCCCAGACUCCUACGGGAGGCAGCAGUGGGGAAUAUUGGACAAUGGGCGAAAGCCUGAUCCAGCAAUGCCGCGUGAGUGAUGAAGGCCUUAGGGUUGUAAAGCUCUUUUACCCGGGAUGAUAAUGACAGUACCGGGAGAAUAAGCGCCGGCUAACUCCGUG
rnacentral:rRNA from 1 species